rnacentral:rRNA from 1 species
UACGUAGGGUGCAAGCGUUGUCCGGAAUUAUUGGGCGUAAAGAGCUUGUAGGCGGUUUGUCGCGUCUGCUGUGAAAUUUCGGGGCUCAACCCCGAACUUGCAGUGGGUACGGGCAGACUAGAGUGUGGUAGGGGAGACUGGAAUUCCUGGUGUAGCGGUGAAAAUGCGCAGAUAUCGGGAGGAACACCAGUGGCGAAGGCGGGCAUCUGGGCCAACACUGACGCUGAGGCGCGAAAGCUAGGGGAGCAAACAGGG